rnacentral:rRNA from 1 species
AUUGAACGCUGGCGGCAGGCCUAACACAUGUAAGUCGAGCGGAUGAAGGGAGCUUGCUCCUGGAUUCAGCGGCGGACGGGUGAGUAAUGCCUAGGAGUCUGCCUGGUAGUGGGGGAUAACGUCCGGAAACGGGCGCUAAUACCGCAUACGUCCUGAGGGAGAAGGUGGGGGAUCUUCGGACCUCACGCUAUCAGAUGAGCCUAGGUCGGAUUAGCUAGUUGGUGGGGUAAAGGCCUACCAAGGCGACGAUCCGUAACUGGUCUGAGAGGAUGAUCAGUCACACUGGAACUGAGACACGGUCCAGACUCCUACGGGAGGCAGCAGUGGGGAAUAUUGGACAAUGGGCGAAAGCCUGAUCCAGCCAUGCCGCGUGUGUGAAGAAGGUCUUCGGAUUGUAAAGCACUUUAAGUUGGGAGGAAGGGCAGUAAGUUAAUACCUUGCUGUUUUGACGUUACCAACAGAAUAAGCACCGGCUAACUUCGUG